rnacentral:tRNA from 1 species
GGGCUGGUAAUUUAAUAGGCAAAAGCUCUCCUUGUCAAGGAAAGAAAUAUCGGAUCGAAACCGAUUCAGCUCG